rnacentral:lncRNA from 1 species
GUAUCUGAAUUAAGCUCAGUAAAGCAAAUUUUUAUUGAAGGCCUGAUUAGGUGUGGCAUUGGAUAUACUUUAUUCAUUAGAGUUCUGUAGCUCUCUGGUUGGGGCAGUGAUAUUUGCAUAAGUCAAAAGAUCAGCAAACCAUAGAAAAGGAUAAAACAAUAUGUGAUUUAGUGGCAAAGAAGGGGUAAAAGGGAGCUAGGUGAGGAAAGGCUUCCUGGAGUUAAUAUGACUUGACCAUGGCCUUAAAUGUUGGCUGGGUGGUAUGUUGGCAACCUCCAAGACCAUCUUCAGGCUUGAUGGCCUGUUAGAUGGCAUCACAGGAUUCAGAAGUUGUUAUACUUAAGGUUAUGAGCAAUAAGAAAUCAAGUCAAACUGAAAUCCCAGAUUAAUGCAAAUGAAUAUACUAGGUCAGAAAUUCUUACCUUAGCUAGCCAUUAGAAACACCUGAGAAGCUUUUAAAACUACACAUGCUUAGGCCCCAGACCAAUGAAUGAAAUCAGAAUCUCUGGGGGUAUAAUCAGGACUAGGCUUUUAAAGCACUACAGGUGAUAACAGUUCAUAGCCAGGUCUGGGUACCACUGCUCUUGAAUAUAGCUUCCACGAGGAGCAGGAACUGUAGUCUCCUUCACAGGUGUUUCCCCAGCAACUAGACCAGAACCUCGCAUGCUGUAUAUGCAUAACAUGAACCUAGAAGCAGCAUUUGACUGAGGCUAAUUUUUAGAAACUUGAAGUGAAGCCAGAAUAGCUGGUUAUUUGGUAAUUAUUAGCAAGAUCACAACCAUUCAGGAUAUGUUAGGCCAGAGAAAGCACAAAGCACCAACAGAAAUUUAUGCUAUUCCUUUUUUGCUUCCUUGGUGCUCAGCACAAAGCCAGGAAUACAGUGAGAAUUAAAUAAUUUUUUCCCCAGGUAAAUCAGUUAAUGAGUGUAGCUGAAAAGCAUAACCCCAAACAGUAACAAAUCAAAAAAUUCAGAUAGCAUAUACAUAAGCAAAAUAGAUGGAAUUAUAUAACCACUUCAUUCUUUUCAAGUUUUAACAUUAUACUCAUGAAAUAAAUUCUACUUUCAGAUUACUCCUUUUUACUCUGCUUUAAUUACCUUUGAUCUGUGAGUCUCAGCUUGGUCUCUCCACACUUAUGUAGUUGACCAUGGGCAUGCAACUUCUUAGACUCUGCCUUUUUCAUCUGAUCAAAGAGGAGUAUUGGAUAGUAGGGUUCUUUGGCUUUUUAAAUCUAUGAUUACCAAUGAGGAAUCCUAUUAAUCAAUAGAAUAAUUCUAUUCAUUACUAUUAAUCUGUUAAAUUACUUUAAAAAAUUCUUAAACGGUGAGACUGGAGUAUUUUAUUUCAUUUACUUCAUUUCAUUUCAUUUUUUUUUUGGUGGUGCACAUAUUAUGCAGAAGUUCCUAGGCCAGGGAUCAAACCUGAGCCACAGCAGUAACCAGAGCCACAGCAGUGACAAUGCCAGAUCCUUAACCUGUUGAGCCACCAGGGAGCUCCUGGACUCUUUCAUAUUGUUAAAAUGAGUUUUAAUACAUGAAAACCCAGAGUGAUGUUGUAUCAGAUUGGCUUAAAGUGCUGCAUAGGAUGGUUGUUGGAAUAUUUUGGUUAGAUAAUGUUUUUUGUGUUUAUGUGGAUCUUAAAAGGUUAGGGUUGCCUGCAGAAUAAUUUCAAUAAGAUAAGAAAAUGGGUAAGAAGGAAAAUAUAUUUUUUAUAAGUGGUUCAUGUUUUCUAACCUAAAUUCUACUUCUGGAAAGACAAGCAGGUUCUGUCUCUAGUCAGUGAAGAUAGAACAAUAGUUGAAUUAUUAGUUGAUUUUUUCUUCUGAUGAAAAAAUGUUAUUUUAACCUAAGCCAGAGAUCUUUUAACCUUCCCUGUUCUCCAAUUUAAUCUUUUCCAAGAGGGUCACCAUUAUCUCUAGACUUUCUUCUAUGUAACACAUUUUUAUACAUCUAAGUGUCCUUCUCUUUUGAAAUAAAAUACUUAUUUCUGAUCAAACUUGGCUGUUUUAUUUGGAGAAAAUCAGAAACCUGGAUAUUUAAAAAAAUAUUUUCCAUCAUCUUCUAACGCUGCUGCCUUAUUCCUCAACUUCAAGCCUCUUGAACUCUGCAGUCAUUGUAAUUUUCUUUCCUUCUCCUUCCAGUUCUGUAGAAGAGACUACACACCAAUGAAUAAGGGGAUGUAUUGGUUUCUAAACCAGUGUCCUCUGGGCCCAGGUAUAUUCUUUGGGCUCAAAUUAUGUAUAGUUUUCCUCUUAUGUACAGUGAUUAGUUUUACUAAUUAAAUUAUAUUUUGGUGAUUCUAAGUGAUGCUAUAAACUAGAGGGCAUUUAUUUUCAUUCAACAUUGUCAUAGUCAACCUUUCAAUUAUUCAUUCAACAAAUAUCUAUUAAAUACCUACAAUACACUUCUCUUCUUUUGUGCUUGGACAAAAACAGAUCCCUGCCCAUUUUUUGUGGGACAGGGAAUGGUGCUUUUGGGCAAUUUAAAAUAGAAGGGUCAAAAUAUAGAACUUCUUGAGAAAAUUUUGCACUUGAACAAAAUCUUAAAGGAAGAGAGGGAGUGAGUCAUGUAAAUAUCAGGCCAAAGAGCUUUCCAGACAGAUACAGCAGCCCAUGUGAGGUUGGAGUAUGCCUGGAACAUUUGAGAAGCAUUAAAGAGGCCGGUGGGACUGGACAGAGUGAGGAGAGGAAGGUGAUAGGGAAUAAAGGCAGAAAAGUAAUGGGCAAUAUUUGAGGGACAUCAUGAGAGCUUUGUAGAAUUUUUAGGAGAUAGUGCCAUUUUAAUUAUUUCUCUGCUUAGAAUUUUCUAUUUUAUAAAUGAAAAUAAUUUAUAAUUAAUACAUAAUUAAUAUUUAGGAGAAAAAUCAUUACAUUAAUUUAACUGGUAGGAAAAUUAAUCCACAAACACAUAUAAUCAUUUAAAUUUCCUUUUUUUUUGGGGGGGGGCACACCCAUGGUAUAUGGAAGUUUCCAGGCCAGGGAUCAAAUCUGAGCCACAGCUGCGACCUAUGCCAUAGCUACGGCAAUAUGCUGGAUCCUUAACCCACUGAGCCACACCGGGAGCUCCUAAAUUUCCCAUUUAGGAUGAAAAUAUUAACCUAUAGUAAUUUCAACAUAGAAGUUUUCCUUACUAAAGUUUUCUUCUAUAUCUAACCACCAGAUUAUUUUUUAAUGUGCUACAUUCAGUUUCAGUGCAGGGCCUACAUUGAUCGACUCCCUGCUCUCUAUUCUAUAUUUUUAUUAUAUAAAUAUAUAAUUUAAAUAGUUCAUUCACAUUUGAACCACAUCGUGGAGAAUAAAAAUAUAGAGAGUAAUUUUAUGUCCUCUUAAAAAUUAUAGCUUGAACCAAAAAGAGGUUACUUCUUGCUUCUGUUCUUUGAUUUCAUUUUAAUUUCAAAACUAAUUUCAUGCUUUUAAAUGUUAAAUUACUAUAAAGGUUUUCAACUUCCUGUCUUUAAUUCUAGCAUUAUCUAUUAUCUACCAUGCUAAUUUCUUUCCUGAUUAAUUGAGAGUACAACAGACACUAGCACAGAAAUAGCAGAGGUCAGAAUGCUUACUAAAUGAGGUUCUGAUAUAAUGCAUAAUUCAUGAAAUAUAUUCCCUCAUAUUUUCCAUUGUCCUCAGUUGAAAAUGUGCCUUGCUAAAUGCAGCUCUCCGCAUUGUUUUAAAUGUUGUUGAAAUCUUCACAUUCCUACUCUUUUUAUACUUUGAAGCAUGUCUCUUUUAGUCUGUUGUGUCCUUAGCUUUCUUUAUAAAUGUUUCUUCUAAGAAGAAUGCUUUUUGGUUUUGUCCCUCAAGGUUCUCAAAAGCUGGUUACUUGGUAGCAAAGGAAUUAUAUAUGCCAGCUCAUUAUUCAAGUUAAUCUACUGAUAAGCAAAAUUAAAUUUAUUUCAUUAUGUAAUGUAGGUGUUUUUAUCCAAUAUUCUAUUAUUUUGUGUUUUCAAAGAGAGAAUUAAUUUAUUAUGUUCUUGCGUUGGGAAUCAGGACUCUUUCAACUGCAAGUGGCAGAAAUUUAAUUCAAAUUAGAUUAACUGAGAAGUUCCCAUGGUGACUUAGCAGGUUAAGAACCCGACACAGUGUCUGUGAGGAUGUGGAUUUCAUUCCUGGCCUCGCUCAGUGGGUUAAGGAUCUGGUGUUGCUUUGUCCUAAGUCACAGAUGUGGCUCUGAUCCAUUGUUGCUGUGGCUGUGGUGUAGGCUGGCAGCUGCAGCUCUGAUUUGACCCCUAGCCCAGGAACUUCCAUAUGCUGCAGGUGUGGCUCUAGAAAGGCAAAGACCAAAAACCAAAAACCAAGCAAAUUAGUUUAACUGAAAAGGGAGAGGGGCAGUUCUCUUGUGGCACAGUAGGUUAAGGAUCUGGCAUUGCCACUGCCGCGGCUUGGAUUGCUGCUGUGGCACGGGUUCAAUCCUAGCCCGAGAACUUCUACGUGCCACAGGCAUGGCCAAAAAAAGGGGGGGGGGAGGGAGUGGGAAGCCUAAAGUAUGUGAGGUUGAUUCAAAUACAAGGCAUCCAGGGGUUCAUGUGAUGGCUCUAGUAUUCUGGAUUCUGUGUGUCUCUCUCGCCUUUACUAAUUCCUGAUUUUGGUAUAAUUUUUGAGUAACAAGUGGCAGGAAAGAGGGUUAGUGGUCAGUCCUAGGCCUCAUGGCUAAUAAUGCCAGAGAAUGAAGACCAUUCUUCUCUAACCCUUAGUAUUUAUAAUUUCUUCAGAAUGGUUAUGUUUGGUUAUUCUCACCAUGUGCAUACCCCCAGACAGCUGUUCAUCCUGAGGGAUGAGAAGCUCUGAUUGGUAUGAGCUGGGUGUCUAACUGAGGUGGGAAGGGUGAAAUGGCAUGGAGAGAGGAUGGGAAGCUCGUACACAGGAGAAGCAAGAUGAGCAGCAGUAACUCCUGUGUCUAUUUCAGGUCUUUUUGAUGCCAAGUGUCAGUCUGGGGGUGCACAUAGCAAAUCUCUCUACUGACAGUUCUUCAGGUUUGUUACUUAAAUUUUAGGACUUCUUCAAAGUGAUGUUCUAAAUCUCUCGGAACCAUGGACAGCUCAGAUGCAACUAUUCUCAAAAUGUGGGAGCAUCUUUUUCCCUCCAUUCAGAUCACUGUCUCCACAGUUAAUUAUGCUGCCUACUUAGAACUCCUGGAGAAAUAUAAAUAAACUCCAUUGGAGUAAAGUGUUAAUUGUGUUUGUGGUCUAUCAGGUAACAUUAUUUUUUUUCAUUUUAAAAAAUUUUACUGAAGUGUAGUCGAUGUACAAUGUUGUGAUAAUUUCUGCUGUACAACAAAGCGAUUCAGUUAUACAUAUAUACACAUUCAUUCUUUUUCAGAUUUUUUUCCCAUAGGGAUUAUCACAGAAUAUUGGGUAGAGUUCCCUGUGCUGUACAGCAGGUCCCCACUGGCCAACCAUUCCAUAUACCACAGUGUGCAUCUGCCAGUCCCCAGCCCCUAGCCCAUCCCUCCCUGGGUAGCAUUCUUUAAAGUGUUAAAGUGCUAAGGUGCAAGAUGUGACUCAUAGAACAUUGCCCUGAUAUAAGUAGCUUGGAGCUCUUUUGAAUUUGGGAAGUGUAAGAUGCACUGAUGUUUAUACAUUAGCCUCAUUUGUUUUAUAAUAAUAAAAGGGAAGAUUAGGUACCAUGUUUAUUAUUUGCUUAUUUUUACUUUUAUCUAGCAAAAUUCUCUUUUAGAUUAAAAGAAUGCCACUUAAAAAAUUAAAUAUAGAUUUAAUAAGCAAAGGAAGCACAUCUCUACUCUUGGAUAUGUCUGAAGGACAGUAGUGAAACGUAAGCAUAACUGUGUUGGAAGCUGAUUAGAGGGGAGAUGUUAAAGUCUGCUGUCAGUCAGCCUGCUUUCUGAGAUUCGUAUGUUGAAAGGGUGACAAUUUUGUUUUAGAACCAAGAAUACAAAG